GCAGACUCGCUCUGCACCCGGCCGCAGCCCCGGGCGGGUGCUUUUUCUGUCUGCCACAGGAACAUCCCGGGGCGCUGUGACCACUUUGACCUGUCAAGGGCAAGGCAGCUGCCCCGGUACACGGUG
ensembl:snoRNA